UUUUUGUAGAUGUUAAAAGCCAGAGACAUGGGAGAGCAUCAUUCUUUUGAUAUUUUAUAACUCAAACCAACUUUGGAGUUGUCUUGUCUGAUUUGGAGAGUCAUCAUUCUUGUUCUUCCCUCUUAAAGGCCACUGAUGAAGAACAGGUGGUGACUGGAUUAAUGCUGGUCAAAGAAGGGAAUGUCCUUUCCCCUAAAUUGAUGCAGCAGUGGUUUUAAAGGAGGACGCUGCCCUGGAUGAUGUAGAUGUCGUCACAUACUGUGCUGAAGGGGCUUCUUCAUGACUACAUCAGUUUUGCUAAAGAGAUCAUGAAAAUUGACAGUGAUGCAUGAUCUGUGUUCAUGGACUAUGAAACAAACUGUAA